rnacentral:rRNA from 1 species
UGCCAGCAGCCGCGGUAAUACUAAAGGUGCAAGCGUUAAUCGGAAUUACUGGGCGUAAAGCGCGCGUAGGUGGUUUGUUAAGUUGGAUGUGAAAGCCCAGGGCUCAACCUUGGAACUGCAUUCAAAACUGACUCACUAGAGUACGAGAGAGGUUAGUGGAAUUUCCUGUGUAGCGGUGAAAUGCGUAGAGAUGGGAAGGAACACCAGUGGCGAAGGCGACUGACUGGCUCGAUACUGACACUGAGGUGCGAAAGCGUGGGGAGCAAACAGGAUUAGAUA